AAGGCCUCGUCACUCGCGCUUUUUAAAGUUCCUAUCAAACGUACCGAAAGUGGAGCAACCUUGUGGGAUUUUAAACAACUUUGAUAUGCCACCAAACACCAAGUGUCACUGUCACUGUGAUGUGACCAAGUGUCACUGCCAGAAGUGGUUGAUGUCAGUGUUAAAUAGAAACUCAAAACAAGCAAGAAAUAAUACCAUAAUAAGAAUAAACCAUUUAUUAAAGCUUCAAUAGUUUCCUGCUUUGGGGUUUGUUGUCUAUUAUUUUUCUUUUUAAAGAAUCUGUUUUUUCUAGACAUAUAUUCGACAAGACCGGUUUUGCUACUGUUAGUAUAAUGAUCACGCUGAGGUCUUGUUGGUGUUCAACGCAAGGUAGUAAUGGAUUUUUUAGUAAUUUUGGUUGUAAGAGCUUAAUCAGGUGGUCACAUGUUUUGUUAAAACUUAAGUGUGGUAAAAUUUCUUGGAUGACAUCGGCUAUUUGCUUUACAAGUCCCACAAAUAGUUCACUUGGGUGUAUUAAGCCACCAUGGUCUUGAAGGGUUAUUAAUUUUAGCAGAGGUCCAGCUUAAGAAUUACAUAUCCAGCUAAGAAAGCUAUGGAUGCAGAGUAGAGGUUACUUUCAGGCAGAAGUAGUUCUUCAAGUUGGUCCUCUGCUGUUUGAUUUCUCUGAUGAGACAGUUGAUUCAAAGAUACAUACUUGCGGUGUUAGCAAAUAAAGAUGAUUUUAAAAUGCCACUUCGUAGAAUUUGCCGUAAAGCAUAUUCUGCAGCACGAGCAUCAGUGGUGUCAUUUGAGCCUCCUUUUAGGCGAAUAUGGGAAAAUGUUGCUUCAACUGCGUCCGAGCUAAAUGAUCUAGUUAAUACAUAAUAAAAUCCAGAUUGUUUAAGAAGAAACUGAAUGCACAAAAAUGUGCUUUUUGCUGUGAAACACAAAGCAUGUGCCGUUUCGUCGCUUAAGCCUGAAUAACCAGUCCUGCUUGAAGUAGACUAAAUAUCCUUGACUUAAUGUUGGAAAGUCACAUUCAACCAGUGAAGGCGUUCGUCCGAAACGUUCACAUAUGGUGCAACAGUGCUAUCGAGGGCAUGAAUGUAGUGCCUGCGAGUUGAAACAUUGUGCACUUGAAAGAAAUGAUACAUGUUUUCCAUGUAUAAGAUAGUCCCAUCAGCAUCAAUAAAAUUAUCAUAUCCAUCUUCUUUUAAUAAUUUAAGCGCUGAAGUAACUGGCGGUGAAAAAACCUGUACAGCUCGCAACACAUUCAUCUUCUCCAGAUUGGUUGGAAAUAGGUGUUUUUUGGUA